GAUAUGAUGACAAAUGAAAAUGGUUAAGACAGCGUGUAUCUUGUCGCUAGAGGGAUGCUCUUAGGGCAGAGACUUUUUUGUAUAUUUUGAAUAUGAAUUUUAGCUUAAUCACAACAAAAUUUGCUUGAAUAUGUAUAUAUUAACUACUCUGUCACUUUUGCUAAUCUGCAUUAAAGGAAAAUCACCUUUUGGUUAAUGUAAGACCGUGACCUUUUUCUGCGUUGCUUUCUAUAGUGUCUUCUGGGACUCUCCUAUUCAUUGCUUGCCUGUGCAUUGUGGCCAAUGGUGGCAUUUGUAGUUCCUGAACAUCAGCUGGGAACUGCAUAUGGCUUCAUGCAGUCCAUUCAGAAUCUUGGGCUGGCCAUCAUUUCCAUCAUUGCUGGUAUGAUACUGGAUUCUCGGGGGUAUUUGUUUUUAGAAGUGUUCUUCAUUGCCUGUGUUUCUUGUGAGUAUUCCGUGUGACAUUUUGUUUCUUUUACUACAUAACAGAAUGUUCUUAUUUUUACUUAGGCAUAUCUCCCAGAUUUGCCUAAUUCUUGCCUGUGUAUUAGAAUUUCAUAGCUGGUGACUUUCUAGCCCUCUGAAGAUUCACAGGCAUUUUUCAGGAGAUUCCUAUCCUUAAAGGCAGUGAUUGAGUUGGUUUCAUAUUCUGUUUUAACUAUUUACAGUUAAAAAAAAAAA
rnacentral:sRNA from 1 species